rnacentral:lncRNA from 1 species
AUGAAGCCAACAGGUGCAGACCCAAGGAUCUUAUCUCUAGCUGCUGAAGUUGCAAAAAGCCCUGAGUGGAAUGUCCCUGUUAUACUGUUGAAGUUAAAAGCCAUUGCUGUGCAGGCUUGGAGCCAGGAGAAGAUGCAGAGGAACUUUCCAAUGAAUUACUUCCAUCAGCUGCAGAAAAUUUUCUAGUUUUGGGGAGAUAAUGGCAAACAUGUUUUAUCAAUGCAGCUAAGGCUGAAGAAAAAGAUGAGUUACUAAAAAUUGUGACUGAUUGGCUCUUCUGGCUUUUGGGAGGCCAUGUUGAACUUAUUCAGAAUGUACUACAAAGUGAUCAUUUCUUACACUUACUGCAAGUUGACAAUGUCCAAAUAGGAUCAGCACUCAUGAUGAUGCUACAGAAUAUACUAUAGAGCAACAGUGGUGAUUUACUCAGAACAGGAGGAAAAGCCGUGCAUUCAAUUUUAGAUGAAGUUAUUUUCAAGCUUUUUUCAACUCCUAGUCCAGUCAUAAGAAGUACUGCUGCAAAACUCCUACUGUUGAUGGCUGAAUCCUAUCAGGAAAUUUUGAUUUUACUGAGACAAAGUGCCUGCUACAAAGGACUCAGAAGUCUACUAAGUAAACAGGAAACUGGGACAGAAUUCAGUCAAGAACUUAGACAGCUCAUUGGCCUUUUAAGCCCAACGGUCUAUCAGGAAGUAGAAAAGCAGAAACUACAUCAAGCAGCAUGCUUGAUUCAAGCCUAUUGGAAGGGUUUUCAGACAAGAAAGAGAUUAAAGAAGCUUCCAUCUGCUGUGAUUGCUUUGCAGAGGAGUUUCAGAUCUAAACGAGCAAAGAUGUUGCUGGAGAUAAAUAGGAAGAAGGAAGAAGAGGACCUCAGAUUGUGAUUGCAACUUCAAAGACAGAGAGCCAUGAGACUUUCCCAAGAAUUGUGGCUGAGUAUGCUCAAAGUAGUUCAUCCAGGUCAAGUGGAGAAACACAAUUGGGAAAUGGAAGAGAAAUCAGCACUGAUUAUCCAGAAACAUUGGAGAGGGUACAGGGAAAGGAAAAAUUUUUGCCAACAGAGGCAGUCUCUCACAGAAUAUAAAGCAGCUGUCAUACUUCAAAGAGCAGUGUUUAAAUUCCUAGCAAAGUGCCGUAAGAAACAGAAACUAUUUGUUCCUUGGUGAGGACUCCAAGAACUCACUGAUGCAUGCCGAGCUGAACUGAAGCAACAAGCGGAUGACUAUGUCAGAAGACAUUCGGGCUCUCCAAUGUCAGAUGUGGUCAGUAGCGAGCCCCAUGCCCGAGCUUAAGAACGACUGCAACACUACUUUAUGGGCAGGGCCCUGGAAGAGUGAGCCCAGCAACACAGAGAAGCUCUGAUGGUACAGAUCAGCACUAACGUUGAACAGCUAAUGAAGGCACCAAGUCUGAAGGAAGCAGAAGGGAAAGAACCUGAGCUCUUCCUAAGAUCCAGGCCUGUGGCAGCCAAGGCCAAGCAGGCCCAUCUCACCACCCUGAAGCAUAUACAACCCACGCCGGUUGAAGAAGCUUGGGGAAGAAUCUGGAGAUGAGAUUGAUGUUCCAAAGGAUGAGCUUAGUGUGGAAUUAGAAACUUUAUUCAUUGGUGUAACCAAACCACCUAGUGAGUUACCCU